rnacentral:tRNA from 1 species
GGGGAUUUAGCUCAGCGGUAGAGUGCUUGCCUAGCAAGCGCAAGGCCCUGGGUUCAGUUCCCAGCUCCG